GUCCUACGGGGGGCUGCAGUGGGGAAUUUUGGACAAUGGGGGCAACCCUGAUCCAGCCAUUCCGCGUGAGUGAAGAAGGCCUUCGGGUUGUAAAGCUCUUUCAGCUGGAACGAAACGGUACGCUCUAACAUAGCGUGCUACUGACGGUACCAGCAGAAGAAGCACCGGCUAACUACGUGCCAGCAGCCGCGGUAAUACGUAGGGUGCGAGCGUUAAUCGGAAUUACUGGGCGUAAAGCGUGCGCAGGCGGAUUGUUAAGCAAGAUGUGAAAUCCCCGGGCUUAACCUGGGAAUGGCAUUUUGAACUGGCAGUCUAGAGUGCGUCAGAGGGGGGUGGAAUUCCACGUGUAGCAGUGAAAUGCGUAGAGAUGUGGAGGAACACCGAUGGCGAAGGCAGCCCCCUGGGAUGACACUGACGCUCAUGUACGAAAGCGUGGGUAGCAAACAGGAUUAGAUACCCGAGUAGUC
rnacentral:rRNA from 1 species